CGUUAAAACACUGGUUCUCGUCCGAUCACCGAAGUUAAGCAACGUCGUGCCUGGUCAAUACCUGGAUGGGUGAGCGUUUGGGAAUAUCAGGUUCUGUAAG